rnacentral:rRNA from 1 species
GAUGAACGCUGGCGGCGUGCCUAAUACAUGCAAGUCGAGCGAACGGACGAGAAGCUUGCUUCUCUGAUGUUAGCGGCGGACGGGUGAGUAACACGUGGAUAACCUACCUAUAAGACUGGGAUAACUUCGGGAAACCGGAGCUAAUACCGGAUAAUAUUUUGAACCGCAUGGUUCAAAAGUGAAAGACGGUCUUGCUGUCACUUAUAGAUGGAUCCGCGCUGCAUUAGCUAGUUGGUAAGGUAACGUCUUACCAAGGCAACGAUGCAUAGCCGACCUGAGAGGGUGAUCGGCCACACUGGAACUGAGACACGGUCCAGACUCCUACGGGAGGCAGCAGUAGGGAAUCUUCCGCAAUGGGCGAAAGCCUGACGGAGCAACGCCGCGUGAGUGAUGAAGGUCUUCGGAUCGUAAAACUCUGUUAUUAGGGAAGAACAUAUGUGUAAGUAACUGUGCACAUCUUGAUGGUACCUAAUCAGAAAGCCACGGCUAACUACGUG